UAAUCUCACCAUCCAACUCUUUGUUGGCAUGUCAUGGAUUUGGAUGCUGCCGUGUCACAACGGCUCAUCUGAAAUGCCUGAGUACAUCCUGGAUUUGUGAUGUGUUCGGUGUGAUAAACUUUCACCGUCUCUGACCCCAGCGGUCACACUCACCUGACCCAAGGCUCUGUGCUUCCAACUGUCUUGAUCAGACAAUUUUGACA
rnacentral:misc_RNA from 1 species